GCCUCACGUGCUGCAAAGUGGUGUCAUGACCAGGCCUACCUUCAGGAAGCUCUCAUCUCCUGCUGGUGCUGUGGUGUCCCUGCCCUGUCCCUGGUCCAGAGUCAGAUGUGGCCACAUUUGGGCAAGAGGAUGGAGCUAUAGAGGAGCGAGGGGGAGACCUGACUCACAAACUGUAGCCACACCUCGCAGACAGCCUGUCGCUCAAGCAUCCCUGCCCUUGAAUAUGUGUAACUUUAAGCUUUAAUAAAUUGAGAACAGGGGUCUGAGCCUUGUAUCCUUGUAGCCGUCAGUGGGACUGCCUGCACCUAUAAAGGAGAAUAUAAAGCUCA